rnacentral:rRNA from 1 species
UCCAGAGCCUGCAAGCGUUAUUCGGAUUCACUGGGCGUAAAGGGUGCGCAGGCGGCCAAGUGUGUGAGGCGUGAAAGCCCGAAGCUUAACUUCGGAAUUGCACCUCAAACUACAUGGCUAGAGCAUUGGAGAGGGUAGCGGAAUUCACGGUGUAGCAGUGAAAUGCGUAGAUAUCGUGAGGAACACCAGAGGCGAAGGCGGCUACCUGGACAAUUGCUGACGCUCAGGCACGAAAGCGUGGGGAGCGAACAGG